AUUGAACGCUGGCGGCAGGCCUAACACAUGCAAGUCGAACGAGUGGCGGACGGGUGAGUAAUGUCUGGGAAACUGCCCGAUGGAGGGGGAUAACUACUGGAAACGGUAGCUAAUACCGCAUACCAUCGGAUGUGCCCAGAUGGGAUUAGCUAGUAGGUGGGGUAACGGCUCACCUAGGCGACGAUCCCUAGCUGGUCUGAGAGGAUGACCAGCCACACUGGAACUGGGAAACGGCCCAGACUCCUACGGGAGGCAGCAGUGGGGAAUAUUGCACAAUGGGCGCAAGCCUGAUGCAGCCAUGCCGCGUGUAUGAAGAAGGCCUUCGGGUUUUAAAGUACUUUCAGUGGGGAGGCGUUACUCACAGAAGAAGCACCGGCUAACUCCGUGCCAGCAGCCGCGGUAAUAC
rnacentral:rRNA from 1 species